GCGUGAAGGAUGAAGGCUUUCGGGUUGUAAACUUCUUUGAUCAGGGACGAAACAAAUGACGGUACCUGAAAAACAAGCCACGGCUAACUACGUGCCAGCAGCCGCGGUAAUACGUAGGUGGCGAGCGUUAUCCGGAUUUACUGGGUGUAAAGGGCGUGUAGGCGGGUCUGCAAGUCGGAUGUGAAAUUCCCGGGCUUAACUCGGGCGGGUCAUCCGAAACUGCGGAUCUUGAGUACUGGAGAGGAUAGUGGAAUUCCUAGUGUAGCGGUAAAAUGCGU
rnacentral:rRNA from 1 species